AUUGAACGCUGGCGGCAUGCUUUACACAUGCAAGUCGAGCGGCAGCGCGGGGGCAACCCUGGCGGCGAGCGGCGAACGGGUGAGUAAUGCAUCGGAACGUAUCCUCGAGUGGGGGAUAACCCAGCGAAAGUUGGGCUAAUACCGCAUGAGCUCUGAGGAGGAAAGCGGGGGACCUGCGAGGGCCUCGCGCUGGAGGAGCGGCCGAUGUCCGAUUAGCUAGUUGGUGGGGUAAAGGCUUACCAAGGCGACGAUCGGUAGCUGGUCUGAGAGGAUGAUCAGCCACACUGGGACUGAGACACGGCCCAGACUCCUACGGGAGGCAGCAGUGGGGAAUUUUGGACAAUGGGGGCAACCCUGAUCCAGCCAUGCCGCGUGAGUGAAGAAGGCCUUCGGGUUGUAAAGCUCUUUCGGACGGAACGAAAGGGGCGGGACUAAUACUCCUGUCUGAUGACGGUACCGGAAGAAGAAGCACCGGCUAACUACGUG
rnacentral:rRNA from 1 species